AUCACAGUUAGGGGGUAAGUAUCUUUUGGUGGGCCUGGGGCCUGUGCUGGUCAAUGGCUUGUAGUCCAAGAAUGGGAUGUGAAAUGGAGAAAACUAAGACAAUCUACCCGUAGGUACCCCUGGGUCUGUCCCGCACCACAGCUCUCUCCCUGAUGCCUUUUACCCAACAGCUUAAAAUUCACUUGAAAGGCAAAUAUUCACACUUAACAUUUAUGCAAGCAGAUGUUCCUGCAAUAUUACUUAUAAGUAAAAUAACACUUUGCUUAUUAUAAACAACUAAAAUAAUAGGAAAAGAUUGUGUAAGUUAUAGUAUAGCCACUGAAAUAUUUUCAAGACUUUAAUGAUAUAGAGGAAAGAUUAUUAUAUAAUGUUAAACAGUGUUAUGAACUGAAUUGUGUCCCCUCAAAAUUCAUAUGGUGAAACCCUAACUCCCAAAGUGACUGUAUUUGGAGGUAGGGUCUUUAAAGAGGUAAUUAGGUUCAAUAAAGGCAUAAUCCAAUAUGACUGGUGUCCCUAUAAGAAGAGGAAGAGCACCAGGAGUGCAUAGAGAAAAGGUCUCAUGAGGACACUGAGAGAAGACUGCCAUCGGCAAGCCAAGGAAAGGGGCCUCAGGAGAAAACAAACCUCCCAUCACCUUGACCUCAAACUUCCAGCCUUCAGAAGUGUGAGAAACAAAUUCCUGUUCUUUAUGCCACCAAGUCUGUGAUAUUUUGUUAUGGCAGCCAUAGUAAACUAAUACAGAUUGAUUGGAAAAGUAUGUAUGUGUGGUGUGUGUAUAUACACCAAUGAUCCAAUUUUUAAAAAGGUUUUCUCAUACACAUAGAGAAAUGACUAGAAGGAAAUAUACUAAAACCCCACUGGGAGGUUAUGAAGAUUUUUAUUUUAUUCCUAUGUUAUAUUUUUCUCUGAGUGAUUUAUAUAGGAAUAAUUUUAAAUUGUUUAGUGUGCAUCAUUCAUUUAUGUAGCCUUUUUAAAAUUUUUUCUUGAUGUAUAUAUAUACUCUGCUUUAUUACAGAAGAGAUCUACAACUAAAAUUCUUUCCUAAAAACAAACCUUGUUUUUCAAAAAUGAUGUUAACUCACUUAUUAAAGAAAUGAGGUAAAUAUUUUAAAUCCUUGUUCAUCAGCAUCUCAAAUGAGGUGAAAGCUCUGUUUUGGAUGUCACAGAUGGUCCCCAGUUCCUGCCCUCAGCAUUGCAACAAAAUGGGCCAGGACAGCUCCCCAGCUAGAAUGGUCAGCCUUGGUGCUGAAGGGGCUCAACCUCAGGUAAGGAGCACCCCUACCUUCUGCUCCUCUCUCCUCCCCUCUCUAGCCACACAACACCUACAAGACUGAGGGAACUCAGCCAGUCUUGAGGUGCUGGAGAAUCUGACAACUGAAGAUUCACCUUCUAGUGGGGUUAUGUUUGAAUGUGGC
rnacentral:lncRNA from 1 species